GAGGGUAUAGCUCAGUGGUAGAGCACAUGCUUAGCAUGCACAGGGUCCUGGGUUCAAUCCCCAGUACCUCCA
rnacentral:tRNA from 1 species